rnacentral:rRNA from 1 species
GACGAACGCUGGCGGCGUGCCUAAUACAUGCAAGUCGAGCGCAGGAAGCAGAUUGAAACCUUCGGGUGGACGCCUGUGGAAUGAGCGGCGGAUGGGUGAGUAACACGUGGGUAACCUGCCUGUAAGCUUGGGAUAACUCCGGGAGACCGGUGCUAAUACCAGAUGAUGCGUUUCACCGCCUGGUGAAACGAUAAAAGACGGCUCUGCUGUCACUUACAGAUGGACCCGUGGCGCAUAGCUAGUGUAGGAUAAAGCUACACCAAGGCAACGAU